UCGGUUUCCAGCAAUUUUAUUUAAUUGCACAUUUUAUAUAUAUUGGAUAUCAUAGUCAGUUUCAAACUAGCGAGAACCUGGACAUGUUGUAGACUUUGAUAGUAUACAUAGUUCAAAGAUUUUGGAAAAACAUCUUUCGCAACAGAAUUGCGGCGCUUCCUAUUUAUUUCUCGAGUGCGAACACGGACAUAAAUUAGAACAUGGCUGUACGUGUAAAUUACAGGCGGGAACACGAGGGGUCCUUUUUGAAGUCAUUUUUUAUAAAAACGGUUACAGCACUUGAAUGCUGAUUGAUUGAUGAUUGGAUUGAAUUAGAUGUGGAGACAAAUCUCAUCCGUGACGGCAUAUGGAGAACAUGGUAAUGGACUGGACUCGGAAAACAUGGACUCAUGCAGUCAGUGAUUUGGAAAAAAAUUGACUGCUGAGUUCAUGAUUGUGGCAAUUGAU